AACGCACCUUGCGCCCUUUGGUAUUCCGAAGGGCAUGCCUGUUUGAGUGUCAUUAAAUUAUCAACCUUGCUCGCUUUUACCGGCUUGAGUGAGGCUUGGACGUGAGGGCUUUGCUGGCUUCCUUCAGUGGAUAGGUCUGCUCCCUUUAAAUGCAUUAGUGGGAUCUCUUGUGGACCGUCACUUGGUGUGAUAAUUAUCUAUGCCAGUUGACUUUGAAGCAAACUAAUGGGAACCUGCUUAUAACCGUCUUUGGACAACUUUUGACAUUUUGACCUCAAAUCAGGUAGGACUACCCGCUGAACUUAA
rnacentral:misc_RNA from 1 species